AGUGAACGCUGGCGGUAGGCCUAACACAUGCAAGUCGAACGGCAGCACAGUAAGAGCUUGCUCUUACGGGUGGCGAGUGGCGGACGGGUGAGGAAUACAUCGGAAUCUACUUUUUCGUGGGGGAUAACGUAGGGAAACUUACGCUAAUACCGCAUACGACCUACGGGUGAAAGCAGGGGAUCUUCGGACCUUGCGCGAUUGAAUGAGCCGAUGUCGGAUUAGCUAGUUGGCGGGGUAAAGGCCCACCAAGGCGACGAUCCGUAGCUGGUCUGAGAGGAUGAUCAGCCACACUGGAACUGAGACACGGUCCAGACUCCUACGGGAGGCAGCAGUGGGGAAUAUUGGACAAUGGGCGCAAGCCUGAUCCAGCCAUACCGCGUGGGUGAAGAAGGCCUUCGGGUUGUAAAGCCCUUUUGUUGGGAAAGAAAAGCAGCAGGUUAAUACCCCGCUGUUCUGACGGUACCCAAAGAAUAGCCACGGCUAACUACGUG
rnacentral:rRNA from 1 species